rnacentral:rRNA from 1 species
GACGUAGGUGGCGAACGUUAUCCGGAAUUAUUGGGCGUAAAGGGUGCGUAGGUGGCCUGACAAGUUAUCAGUGGCAAAUCGAGGCUCAACCUCGUGGAAACUGGUAAUACUGUUCGGCUUGAGUACAGGAGAGGUUAACGGAACUCUAUGUGGAGCGGUAAAAUGCACAGAUAUAUAGAAGAACAUCAAUAAAAGGCGAAAGCAGUUAACUAUUCUGUUACUGACGCUGAGGCACGAAAGCGUGGGGAGCAAAACGG